GAAAUGCGAUAAGUAAUGUGAAUUGCAGAAUUCAGUGAAUCAUCGAAUCUUUGAACGCACCUUGCGCUCCUUGGUAUUCCGAGGAGCAUGCCUGUUUGAGUGUCAUGGAAUUCUCAACUCUAUUUGCUUUUGUGAAUAGAGCUUGGAUUUGGAGGUUUAUUGCUGGUACUUGUGAUCGGCUCCUCUUGAAUGCAUUAGCUCGAACCUUUGCGGAUCAGCUAUCGGUGUGAUAAUUGUCUACGCCGUUGCAGUGAAGCAUAUCAAUGGGCUCGGCUUCCAAUCGUCCUUUACUGGACAAUGACUUUGACCUUUGACCUCAAAUCAGGUAGGAUUACCCGCUAAACUUAAGC
rnacentral:misc_RNA from 1 species